rnacentral:rRNA from 1 species
UACAGGAGGGGGCAAGCGUUGUUCGGAAUUACUGGGCGUAAAGGGCGCGUAGGCGGCCUUCUAAGUCGAACGUGAAAUCCCCGGGCUCAACCCGGGAACUGCGUCCGAGACUGGAAGGCUUGAAUCCGGGAGAGGGAUGUGGAAUUCCAGGUGUAGCGGUGAAAUGCGUAGAUAUCUGGAGGAACAUCAGUGGCGAAGGCGGCCCUCUGGUCCAGUACUGACACUCAAGUGCGAAAGCGUGGGGAGCAAACAGG